GCGGUCCCCUCGGUCCCGUCCCCAGGAUCCCGCCGCGGUUCCAUCCCCAGGAUCUCGUCGUGGUCCCAUCCCCAGGAUCCCGCCGCGUCCCUGUCCCACGGCUCUGCCAGCUCGCCGCCGGGAGUGCCGGGCCUGCUCCCUGGGGGUCGAGAGCCGUGACCGCUUGCAGCGGGUCCCGACCCCCGGACCGGCCGGGCUGCGCACCCAGAGCGCCCGGGCCCCGCGACAACACCACUGAGCAGCAUCUCUGAGGGUGGGGGAGAGUUUCGGGCUUCGAUGUCAAGCUGCUUUUAUAUGAAGACACUGGAAAGAUUAUGGAGGAACACUGACUUUGGUGCAUCCAGUUCACUGAUGACUUCCAUCUCCUACAUCACAUUUCUGACAUGGAUGGUCAAUGAUAGACCGUUUUGAUGAGCUUAAGCCCUGACUGAGUUCUCACUAUUCAUGCUAGACAGGAUGAAUUGGGUAAGGAAGGCAACCAGAAGAGUUGGCAGAAUUUAUCUCAGCAUUCUUCCAUGAGAAAGCAUAACUGAUGCUUGUAGGAUGGUGAAACACAGCAUUCAGCAUAUUCCAGCUGUGUACCUGGACUCUCCAGGAGCAGCUCUGGCCAGGACCAAUUUUUAUGCUCAUGUAAAGGCAAAUAUGACCUUUUCUGCCAGAUGCAAACCUGCAACAAUCAUCAACAUUUUGGCCACCUAAAAGGAGGUUGCUGUAACAUUCAUCUGAUGUGGAAUCAUAAAUAAACUGAAGGCUAUGAAGACUGUUGAGACUUGUUGAAAAGAGCUAUAUAUUAAAGGCUUACGAACUAACUGCUGAACCAGAGUGUACAUCCACCCUUAACUGUGUUUCUGUGUACUCUGCAUUUUUCUUGAUUUUUCUUUGUACGUCUUCCAUUUACAAACUUUUCUUAUGACUUUCCCAAGCCAAGGCACUCUACAGAUUUCUUUCUGAGGGAGCAGGACAUGCAAAUGGGUCUGUUUCCUUCUUAAAUUGAUGGACAUAGAUUUUUUUUUUUAUGUUCUGAGAUGUUUCAUUCAUGUCUCACAGACACCUUAAUUCACUGCUUUUUGUGGACUCCAGUUCCCAAAAGAGAUAUUUUUGAAUAGGAGAAACAAGGAUGUAGCUCAGGCCUUGCUAUUAACAAAGAUACCAUGUUCUUAAUUUCCGUGUAUGAAGAAAUGCAUCUGGCUUCUUACUGGAUGUGAAAGCAAAAUACACAGGCUCAUCUUGCUCUAAUUGACCUUCCUGAAAGAUCUGAGGAUUCCUGUUCUAAAAGAAGCAGGAAUGAUUUGUGUAGUAGGAAGAUAAGCUUUCCGAGCAACUGUGUGAUAGAAGGAAAAUUUAAGAAGCCUAUAACUAAUAUGUAGGGAAGUGGUGGAGAUGUGGGCUAAGUGCUUCAAGUGCUGUAUGGAAACAUGUACUGAAAACUCAGUUAGCUCAUCAAAAACUGAGCCUGGUUUUGUUUUGCCAUAUGGGGACCAGGUUAGAUGGCAAUCAGAGCUUCAGGAAACCUCCCCAGUUUCUCUUCUUGAAGUGCUCACAAGUGCUCCACAACCUGGAUGCAGGGGAUGCCACGAUCACAUGGUCUCCAGGUCACAGGAGGAGUAACAGCAGCAACCUGGAGCCAGAAAUGUGCUGCACAGUAGGCUCAAAGACUCUGGAAGUAGCAGCACUGCCACCACCUCACUGCUCCCUACCCGCCCCCCACAUGCUGCUUGAUGGGAGUAAGAGACUGGAAAAAAACCUAUUACUGGUUCAAAACAACUAAGGAGUCUGUGGGAAAGAGAGUAGAUCAAGUUUUGCGAAGGUGGGACAGUGCUCUGCUCCACACCACACCCCUGAGAGCCUCUGGGACAGCCCUGGAGUGGUGCCAGUUACUGGCAUACCAGCAGCAGUGACCCACCCCCCACUCCUGGAGCCCUUAACCCAGCUCCAGAAUGAGACUAGAAGCCUCACCUGGGGGAGAGUGGUCACAGGAGGCCAGAGCAGAUAAAAAUCAUGGCACAAAGCCUCCACGUGUCACACUCCUGUUGUCUUUGGAUUUUACAGCAGCCAGACCACGCUGGAUCAAAGGGCAGUAGCUACAUCUCUCUUUUCUCUCUCUCUUUUUCUAUCUUUCUCUCUCUUUUCUUCUUUUUCUCUUAAUUUCCGCUUCUUGAAAUCUGGGUAACUUAAAGAUGGAUGGGUUGGAGUCAAUGCUUCGUGAAAUGCUUUAUUGCAAUUGAAUGUUACCCUUAAAAUUUGCCAAGUUCCCUUACUUUCUAAAGUUUGCCACUAAAAGUGUGUUGUUUAACCUCCUGAAAAACCUUGUUGCAUCUUUCCCUUGCUCUCGCUCACUGUACAAAACCCUAAAGCCUCUUUAACAAACUCGCUGGGCAAGAUUUGGGGCCUUAAAAUGGGUUAUGGGACAUUUGACCAGCAGUGGUUGGUGACACAUGGAAGAGGCUGCAGCUCCUUAUCUCAUAUCUCUGUCUGCUACAUCUCCAGCAGCGAGACUGGCUUUGUGUCUUAAGUUAGAGUCAAUUUUCUAAUACAACCUAGUGACAAACUCAUUACUUUGGUCCCAGAGCAAAAACCUUUCAGGAGAACUUAGGUAAAAGAACUAAUUCCAUUCAAAGUGCUUUGCAACAUAUAAUAGAAGAAAAAUAAAAAAUUUGAUAUUUUUGAUGCUGUAACAAGAAGUUACAAACAGAAUGGUGAUAGGAGAUGUAGCUGAAGGUCCUUUCCUUUUUGACCUGCUUGAGAGGUGGUGAUUGCUUGAAUCCCAGCCACCCUAAGUCAUAUGGCAGCAACCUCAUUCUCACCAGCAUUUUUUUUGUCAUUCCACCAGAAGAUGAUGAUUGACUGUUCUCUUCACAUGUGGACUUUGUAACAAUGAUCUGCCUUUUUCCUCAGAAAGCUGAAUUACUGGCCUGAGAUUUUUCUGUGAAUUCCUUAGGGCCACACCGAAAGACCCAUAUACUUAUCUGAAAGAGCGUGGGAUGUCCUAGUGGUUGCAACACAGGGCAGAGAAGGGUCCUUAAGAGUGCAAAUGGGUAUGGUGGAACCAGCACCAGCAGCAUCUGGACAGUUUUGGACAUUCAAAAAUGAAGAUUAAAAUAAAGAUUAAAAGGUGGUUUAGCUGAUGAAAAAUUGCUUGUCGGUCAUCAAAAAAUCUUUUCCCUUGUAUCUGAGAGACAAACAAUGUCAUCACACCACAGGAAAUCAGAGGAUUUAAAAUGCAAGAGUAAAAAGAAGACACAAUUGAUAGAAGGCUCAUGUUUACAUGGUGCAAGACAAUAUUAUUGCAUCAUGGAUACUGAGAUAACUCUCUGUUCGUGAAAAAUGCAGGAGGCCAGGGGGGUUAUAUUUUUUUUAUGGGAGGGUACAGACCUAUUUGUUAUGCAACUUAGACCUAGGAAGUGGUGUGGGGUUGGUUUUGGCUUCUUUGACAUGGUUUUGGAUAAGAUUUUGGUAUGUGGGCUUAAACAGAGCUCAGAUUGCAAACUUGAAGAAUUCAUCAUUUUUAGUGGCUUGCAAAAGUGGUCCAAAACCGAAAUCCUGUGGGAUAACUGAUGUUUGAAGAAAUGCCGCAAUUAAAAAUGAAAUAGGGAACAUGAAGUAGCUAUUGGAAAAUGUGGUUCAUUUUAUAAUAUGAUUGAAUAAUAGAACAAACACUUAUGAACCCGCAACUAAGCCUGAAAGUGUGGGACCAGGUUUUAGAUAGAAAUAAUAUGCAGCCAACUAUUUCAGAAAUAAGUGAAGUGCUGUAAUUGGUGAGGUUCUGAAAUGUGUGUGCUGCCAGUUUUUAAAUGCACUAGACAAACUAGAAUUUGUAUUUGUUUUGACUCAGUCCCCUGAAAUAAAUUUGGAUCAGAUAUUUAAAAUCCAAUUAUGCUAUCUGCCAUAUUUCAAAUGCUAAAAUAAACCCCCCCAAAGGAAAUAAGGUCUCCUUACUGCUUUCAAGUGGGUAUUAGUGCUGGGAACAACUGAGGAACACUAUCAUCUUGGUAUCCUCUUGGUUAACACGAUGGUUUCACUACACAUUUGACUCCCACUAAAGCAAUGGUAUAUUGGAAAAAAAACAUAGGAACUUCUUUCUCCCCAGUAAAAAUAUACAUGAUGCUCAUUAAAACCCAAGCAGGUUGCCAGCGCACCCACAUGCUUUAUGGUUUGUGUUGUGUUUUCUGAGUGAAAACUUCUCAAGCAUUUGAAAUUGAAAAAGCAAAUUCCAAUAUGUUUUUUUUCUUUUUUUGCUAGUGGAACUCAAGAAAAAACAAAGGACUGGAACAAAUUUUCCACAGUAAGCCUAUUGUCCCCUACCUUCAAGUAGUAAAUUCAUCAUUGCAUUACUCUUCUUUGGAACCAAUGGUUCUCACUUUGAUGUACAAUGGUUUGUACUUUGAUAUUACUGGAAAUAGAAAAACACAGAAAACAAAAA